AGAGUUUGAUCCUGGCUCAGGAUGAACGCUAGCUACAGGCUUAACACAUGCAAGUCGCGGGGCAGCAUGGGGGUUGCUUGCAACCCCUGAUGGCGACCGGCGCACGGGUGAGUAACGCGUAUCCAACCUGCCCUUCACCACGGGAUAACCCGGCGAAAGUCGGACUAAUACCGUAUGUUGUCCAUUGACGGCAUCCGAUUUGGACGAAAGGCUUAGCGGUGAGGGAUGGGGAUGCGUCCGAUUAGCUCGACGGCGGGGUAACGGCCCACCGUGGCUACGAUCGGUAGGGGUUCUGAGAGGAAGGUCCCCCACACUGGAACUGAGACACGGUCCAGACUCCUACGGGAGGCAGCAGUGAGGAAUAUUGGUCAAUGGGCGGAAGCCUGAACCAGCCAAGUAGCGUGCAGGAUGACGGCCCUAUGGGUUGUAAACUGCUUUUAUGCGGGGAUAAAUGAGCCCACGUGUGGGUUUUUGCAGGUACCGCAUGAAUAAGGACCGGCUAAUUCCGUGCCAGCAGCCGCGGUAAUACGGAAGGUCCGGGCGUUAUCCGGAUUUAUUGGGUUUAAAGGGAGCGUAGGCCGCCCCUUAAGCGUGUUGUGAAAUGCGGGUGCUCAACAUCCGACUUGCAGCGCGAACUGGGGGGCUUGAGUGCGCCGAAAGUAGGCGGAAUUCGUGGUGUAGCGGUGAAAUGCUUAGAUAUCACGAAGAACUCCGAUUGCGAAGGCAGCUUACUGUAGCGCAACUGACGCUGAUGCUCGAAAGCGUGGGUAUCGAACAGGAUUAGAUACCCUGGUAGUCCACGCGGUAAACGAUGGAUGCUCGUUGUCGGCCUUUGCGGUCGGUGACCAAGCGAAAGCGUUAAGCAUCCCACCUGGGGAGUACGCCGGCAACGGUGAAACUCAAAGGAAUUGAC
rnacentral:rRNA from 1 species